rnacentral:rRNA from 1 species
GGGUUGUGAGGUUAAGCGACUAAGCGUACACGGUGGAUGCCCUGGCAGUCAGAGGCGAUGAAGGACGUGCUAAUCUGCGAUAAGCGUCGGUAAGGUGAUAUGAACCGUUAUAACCGGCGAUUUCCGAAUGGGGAAACCCAGUGUGAUUUGUCACACUAUCAUUAACUGAAUCCAUAGGUUAAUGAGGCGAACCGGGGGAACUGAAACAUCUAAGUACCCCGAGGAAAAGAAAUCAACCGAGAUUCCCCCAGUAGCGGCGAGCGAACGGGGAGGAGCCCAGAGCCUGAAUCAGUGUGUGUGUUAGUGGAAGCGUCUGGAAAGGCGCGCGAUACAGGGUGACAGCCCCGUACACAAAAAUGCACAUGCUGUGAGCUCGAUGAGUAGGGCGGGACACGUGGUAUCCUGUCUGAAUAUGGGGGGACCAUCCUCCAAGGCUAAAUACUCCUGACUGACCGAUAGUGAACCAGUACCGUGAGGGAAAGGCGAAAAGAACCCCGGCGAGGGGAGUGAAAAAGAACCUGAAACCGUGUACGUACAAGCAGUGGGAGCCUCUUUUAUGGGGUGACUGCGUACCUUUUGUAUAAUGGGUCAGCGACUUAUAUUCUGUAGCAAGGUUAACCGAAUAGGGGAGCCGAAGGGAAACCGAGUCUUAACUGGGCGUUAAGUUGCAGGGUAUAGACCCGAAACCCGGUGAUCUAGCCAUGGGCAGGUUGAAGGUUGGGUAACACUAACUGGAGGACCGAACCGACUAAUGUUGAAAAAUUAGCGGAUGACUUGUGGCUGGGGGUGAAAGGCCAAUCAAACCGGGAGAUAGCUGGUUCUCCCCGAAAGCUAUUUAGGUAGCGCCUCGUGAAUUCAUCUCCGGGGGUAGAGCACUGUUUCGGCAAGGGGGUCAUCCCGACUUACCAACCCGAUGCAAACUGCGAAUACCGGAGAAUGUUAUCACGGGAGACACACGGCGGGUGCUAACGUCCGUCGUGAAGAGGGAAACAACCCAGACCGCCAGCUAAGGUCCCAAAGUCAUGGUUAAGUGGGAAACGAUGUGGGAAGGCCCAGACAGCCAGGAUGUUGGCUUAGAAGCAGCCAUCAUUUAAAGAAAGCGUAAUAGCUCACUGGUCGAGUCGGCCUGCGCGGAAGAUGUAACGGGGCUAAACCAUGCACCGAAGCUGCGGCAGCGAC